rnacentral:rRNA from 1 species
UGGGGAAUCUUGGACAAUGGGGGCAACCCUGAUCCAGCCAUGCCGCGUGAGUGAUGAAGGCCUUAGGGUCGUAAAGCUCUUUCGCCUGUGAAGAUAAUGACGGUAGCAGGUAAAGAAACCCCGGCUAACUCCGUGCCAGCAGCCGCGGUAAUACGGAGGGGGUUAGCGUUGUUCGGAAUUACUGGGCGUAAAGCGCACGUAGGCGGACCAGAAAGUUGGGGGUGAAAUCCCGGGGGCUCAACCCCGGAACUGCCUCCAAAACUAUCGGUCUAGAGUUCGAGAGAGGUGAGUGGAAUUCCGAGUGUAGAGGUGAAAUUCGUAGAUAUUCGGAGGAACACCAGUGGCGAAGGCGGCUCACUGGCUCGAUACUGACGCUGAGGUGCGAAAGUGUGGGGAGCAAACAGGAUUAGAUACCCUGGUAGUCCACACCGUAAACGAUGAAUGCCAGUCGUCGGGUAGCAUGCUAUUCGGUGACACACCUAACGGAUUAAGCAUUCCGCCUGGGGAGUACGGUCGC